UUUUGACAGCGUCUCCCUCUUUCACCUCCACUGGAGUGUAGUGGUAUAGCUACAGCUCACUGCAGCCUUGACUUCCUGGCCUCAAGCCUUCCUCUUACCUCAGCCUCUAGAGCAGGCUUAAAGACCCUCCAGACACCAUGACUUUCCUUUUAUCACUGAGGUCUUAACUUCAAUGCUACCUCAUCAGGCCCAUGCUCAUGAUCAUAUUUCGGUAAUUGGAACACAGCCAUUCCAAGGCUUUUAGCAGUUUCUUGUACAUUAAUCAUCUUGUUCCUGUCUAGACACUAGCUAUGAAUGUGAAGAAGCCAUUCUGGACAUUCCAGACCCAGCAGAUGCCACAUGGAACAGUACUGAGGUCCAAAACACAUGGUUUUCCACCAUAUCCUGACAAUUGAACUACCCUGGCUGAAGCCCAGACAUCAUGGCACAAAGACAAGCUGUCAUCACUGAACCCUGACAAAGUUCUUGACCCACAGAAUUGUAAGCCUAAUAAAAGUGGAUUUUUAAAAAAAU
rnacentral:lncRNA from 10 species